rnacentral:rRNA from 1 species
CGAUGAGUAGGGCGGGACACGUGGUAUCCUGUCUGAAUAUGGGGGGACCAUCCUCCAAGGCUAAAUACUCCUGACUGACCGAUAGUGAACCAGUACCGUGAGGGAAAGGCGAAAAGAACCCCGGCGAGGGGAGUGAAAAAGAACCUGAAACCGUGUACGUACAAGCAGUGGGAGCACAGGUUUACCUGUGUGACUGCGUACCUUUUGUAUAAUGGGUCAGCGACUUAUAUUCUGUAGCAAGGUUAACCGUAUAGGGGAGCCGCAGGGAAACCGAGUCUUAACCGGGCGUUAAGUUGCAGGGUAUAGACCCGAAACCCGGUGAUCUAGCCAUGGGCAGGUUGAAGGUUGGGUAACACUAACUGGAGGACCGAACCGACUAAUGUUGAAAAAUUAGCGGAUGACCUGUGGCUGGGGGUGAAAGGCCAAUCAAACCGGGAGAUAGCUGGUUCUCCCCGAAAGCUAUUUAGGUAGCGCCUCGUGAAUUCAUCUCCGGGGGUAGAGCACUGUUUCGGCUAGGGGGCCAUCCCGGCUUACCAACCCGAUGCAAACUGCGAAUACCGGAGAAUGUUAUCACGGGAGACACACGGCGGGUGCUAACGUCCGUCGUGAAGAGGGAAACAACCCAGACCGCCAGCUAAGGUCCCAAAGUCAUGGUUAAGUGGGAAACGAUGUGGGAAGGCCCAGACAGCCAGGAUGUUGGCUUAGAAGCAGCCAUCAUUUAAAGAAAGCGUAAUAGCUCACUGGUCGAGUCGGCCUGCGCGGAAGAUGUAACGGGGCUAAACCAUGCACCGAAGCUGCGGCAGCGAACGUAUCACUUAAAGCGAUUCAGCGGGUUACGAUUGACGGAGCGAAGCGACGUCAAAGCGUAUACAAAGUCGAGUCGGUUUAAGGAUACGUUCGUUGGGUAGGGGAGCGUUCUGUAAGCCUGUGAAGGUGGCCUGUGAGGGUUGCUGGAGGUAUCAGAAGUGCGAAUGCUGACAUAAGUAACGAUAAAGCGGGUGAAAAGCCCGCUCGCCGGAAGACCAAGGGUUCCUGUCCAACGUUAAUCGGGGCAGGGUGAGUCGACCCCUAAGGCGAGGCCGAAAGGCGUAGUCGAUGGGAAACGGGUUAAUAUUCCCGUACUUGGUGUUACUGCGAAGGGGGGACGGAGAAGGCUAUGUUGGCCGGGCGACGGUUGUCCCGGUUUAAGCGUGUAGGUGUGUGUUCCAGGUAAAUCCGGUUCACUUUAACACUGAGGCGUGAUGACGAGGCACUACGGUGCUGAAGCAACAAAUGCCCUGCUUCCAGGAAAAGCCUCUAAGCAUCAGGUAACAUCAAAUCGUACCCCAAACCGACACAGGUGGUCAGGUAGAGAAUACCAAGGCGCUUGAGAGAACUCGGGUGAAGGAACUAGGCAAAAUGGUGCCGUAACU